CCAGGUGGCAAAGUUGGUACCAUCAAAUAAAGGAGGUCUAGAAUUUGAGAGACCUUCACUACAACCGAUGGCAUUGAUAUAAGCCAUAUCGGAUCUACUUUUGGGAGUGCUUUUGAAUCAAAUAGCACGUAUAAAAGCAACUGCUCUGAUACCAAUUGUUAGGUCCCGAUAUAGGGGAUAAUUAAGCUAGAAGGGGGGGUUGAAUAGCUUAAUAGCCAAUUUAAAAAUAAUAGUGUAGUUUUAAAAAGUUUAUCCCCUUUUUAAAAGCUUGUAUCGAGAGUUUUAGCAGUUAUGAUGUGCGGAAGUAAAUGAAAAGAAAGACAAAUACCACACGAGCGAUUUUAUCCUGGUUCGCGGUGGCUAACUCAACCCUUGGAGUCCACUCACCCCUACUCCAGUCCCCGAGCUCCUCCCCGGACUCGAGAUUUUCUCUACUAUAAAGAAACUCCUUUACAGUAGGCGGAGAAGCCUUUACAAAUAUAUAUCUUGGAGCGUAACUUCCCGUUACCUCCUCACUAUAAAUGUAAAUUACAAGACUUGUCUUGGAGCGUAACUCCCCGUCACCUCCUCAAAAUCGUUGUAUCUCUCAAUGUGUAGUCUUUGUUCUUCUAGCCUUAAGCGGGUCUUGGAUCUUAGGUCUUAGGUCUUGGGUCUUUCCUCUUCCUCACGGUGCGAAGACGACUAACUCCCCGUUAGCUCGUCUAGGACUUGGGUCUUAGAACGAAGAUCACCUCACUUCACUUCACCUCACUGCAAAAUCUAGAAAACAAUAUCUACGAAAGACAACCUUGGUUAUAAAAAGAGUUUUGGACAAGAUUCACUAGUCCGAGUGUUUCAAUAAUAUUCUUGGUCUUAGAAUAUUAAAGAUCAAGUGUCCUUUAAGCUUUUAUAAAGCUUAAGACCUUGCAAGUAUUCUUUUUCGAUAGAUUUGUAUUUAUAAUCGAAGAAUACGUUUAUCGUACAAAAUCCUCCAAAUAAAUGAUAUUUGAGUGUCUUGGAGUUUGUAGAUAAAAUAAGUCAUUUUAAGCUCUUUUGGCUAUAUGGACGAAUAUACUUGUCUUUGACUAAGUAUAUGAAAUACUUCGGGUAUGAUAACCUUCGAAGUGAAUAUUACGAAGUGUUUUAUUUUACAACUUCGUUUCAAGAUAACCCCUCUUUAAAUAUAAAUAUCGUUUUGCACGAGAGAGUGAGUUCUUGACUAUCUUUAACAAUUGCACUAUGAUAUAGAGUUUUGGGCCACAAUAAUCCGCGAUAAUAUCCGCGCUAUAAUAUGUGUAUAUAGUUGAUUUUAGAAAUACCGAGCGAAUCUCGCGUGGGACAAGCUACGGGUAUUUUGUGGUGUGUGAACAAAGUGUUGGUGAUAUAUAUAAAUAUACGUAUAAAUCAACUCACUAAGGUGAGGACCACCACCAAACUCGUUUAAGCAAAUAUUCUCACGAAAGCUCAGCACGUAUGAGAAUCUUCACGUCAACAAGAUAGGGUAUAACACACACACGCACACGUAGGUAUAUUAUAGAUAAUACGAGCGGCCAACUCUUGUGCUUUGUAUUGUUAAAGAAAAAGAGAGCUUUGAGAUGAAGAGAAAUUUGACUUGAUAGCACUUUUAAAUUCGGUCGGUUAAGACUCGGAUAAGACGAAGCUAAAGAAACCACUUACACGAUUUUCGUAAAAAGUUCGCUGGAAAAAUUCGCCGGAGGUUCGGUAGGAAUUUGGCUUAUGGACGAACUUCGGACAGCCCUUCGGGAGGUCGGAAAGAGUGGUUUGGGUGCAAGCAAAGUGGUACGGGGCUUGGUUGGGUGAAGCAAAGCCUCGGUGUUUAAAACCUCGAGAAUAUACGAAUAUACCGAGCGGGACGGAGGUUUUAAAGAUGAAGUAGAUGAAAAAUGUGUUUGUGUAAAUUUGGAGAGAGCUUCUACUUGCAAAAUCUCAGCACUUUGUUGCUUUC
rnacentral:lncRNA from 1 species